rnacentral:rRNA from 1 species
UACGAAGGGGGGCUAGCGUUGCUCGGAAUUACUGGGCGUAAAGCGCACGUAGGCGGAUCCUUAAGUCGGUGGUGAAAUCCUGAAGCUCAACUUCAGAACUGCCUUCGAUACUGGGGACCUUGAGUUCGGGAGAGGUGAGUGGAACUGCGAGUGUAGAGGUGAAAUUCGUAGAUAUUCGCAAGAACACCAGUGGCGAAGGCGGCUCACUGGCCCGAUACUGACGCUGAGGCACGAAAGCGUGGGGAGCAAACAGG